UACGUAGGGGGCAAGCGUUGUCCGGAAUCAUUGGGCGUAAAGAGCGUGUAGGCGGCCAUACAGGUCAGCUGUGAAAACUCGAGGCUCAACCUCGAGACGUCGGUUGAAACCGUAUGGCUAGAGUCCGGAAGAGGAGAGUGGAAUUCCCGGUGUAGCGGUGAAAUGCGCAGAUAUCAGGAGGAACACCAAUGGCGAAGGCAGCACUCUGGGACGUGACUGACGCUGAGACGCGAAAGCGUGGGGAGCAAACAGG
rnacentral:rRNA from 1 species